UCCUAGUUGAGUGUGAAGACCUGAGGUAUCAGGGGUAGGGGUUGCUCUGCUUGUGUAAGUCCCAUAGUGUGAAGGCCAGAGAACCAAGAGAUGGUCAAGAAGAGAGAGUAAGUGUCCAAUGUCCCAGCUCAAGAAGAGAGAAAACUUUUGUGGAUAGCUAAGUUACUGCUAGCCAUCUGAUUAUAGCAAUGGCUUCCAGGAGCAUCACGACCUGUGCAGACUCCCCAGCAUCAUAACAGGAAGGUCCCACGAUCACGAGCACAUUGCCUUCAGCAUCCAGCACUGAAUAUGGUGAAUUGCACUCUGAAGAGCUUCCUAAGCUUGUAAGAAAGUGAUUCUGAAAAGCUCAACAUUUUGGUAGAAUGGAGAGAUUUGACAUUGCUUCUGCUCCAAAAGCAAAAGACUUGGGAAGGGCACCCUGGGAGUUGAGAACAUCCACCACAGAGAGGCCUGGCGUAAAGGAGAUGGGACUCACACCCAAGAGGAUGCAUUUCCAUACACCCAUUUCUGAAAUAUGAAGAGGUGUCCAGUCUGUUUGAUUCAUAGCUGCCUGUUCCACAACUGCAGAUACAGUAAUUGAUAACCGAGACCAAGUUCUCAUCCCCAUCUCCCAGGGCUGGAACUGGGGCUGUGUUUGGUUCUCAUAAGAUCAGUUCCAGUUUUAGAAACUGAGUAAAUUGUGGAGUAAAUAUUGCCAAGUGAUGGCUUUCUGCUGUAGGCGUGGGUCGCUGUUGGCCAUUUGCCUCAGCAUAUCACCAGCAAUGCACCUCAUUGCAUCACUGCAUUUCCAAUUACACCUCAAAGCACCACUGGUCCCCUGUCCACCCUCUGCCCUGCAGAGGUGGGUGUUCAGGGAGACAGAUCCAAAAUCUGGGCUCAGAAGAUGGAAAUGCCAACUGCUCUCAAUUUGAGAGUGGGGAUGAGACUUUUUGACUCAACUCUGGUUAAUUCAGCCAUGCUGUCAGAGCUGCUUUGAUGCAAGGACAUCUGAAUGCUAUCUGAAUGCUGC
rnacentral:lncRNA from 1 species